AUUGAACGCUGGCGGCAGGCCUAACACAUGCAAGUCGAACGAGUGGCGGACGGGUGAGUAAUGUCUGGGAAACCGCCCGAUGGAGGGGGAUAACUACUGGAAACGGUAGCUAAUACCGCAUACCAUCGGAUGUGCCCAGAUGGGAUUAGCUAGUAGGUGGGGUAAAGGCUCCCCUAGGCGACGAUCCCUAUCUGGUCUGAGAGGGUGACCAGCCACACUGGAACUGAGAAACGGGCCAGACCCCUACGGUAGGCAGCAGGGGGGAAUAUUGCACAAUGGGCGCAAUACUGAUGCAGCCAUGCCGCGUGUAUGAAGAAGGCCUUCGGGUUGUAAAGUACUUUCAGCGGGGAGGCUUUACCCGCAGAAGAAGCACCGGCUAACUCCGUGCCAGCAGCCGCGGUAAUAC
rnacentral:rRNA from 1 species